rnacentral:lncRNA from 1 species
UAAGGGCGUGUUUGUUAGGGGUUACAAGGGGGUAUUAGCUUAUUUAUCUCCCCUAAUUGUGUGUUUGAUAGAAUAAAUACUUAAUCACUCAAGCCCGCAUUUAGGGCAAGGCCCGCACUAAAUUCACUGUUUCACCUUUAUUAUUAAUCUGCAGCUCACCCCUAGUUUUAUAAUCAAGAUUGUACAGUGUUAUUGGUUAGAUUUUAGGUUUACAAAAUUACCCUCCCAAUUUCAACUGCAAAGCAUCGAUAUUCUUGGAGCUCUCGUUUAGCUGGGUGAUCUUCUUCACCAAGUGAUUGGCCAUGAAAGGGAUUAGCCAGGUGCUACCGGAGCCACCGCAGAGACGAAGAACAAGGUGGAGCUUGGAUUCAAUUUCGACGCAGCUGGGUUUGGUUUGAAAAGAUGGUUGAAAGAUUUGGGUGCAUAU